rnacentral:rRNA from 1 species
CCUACGGGAGGCAGCAGUGGGGAAUAUUGGGCAAUGGAGGAAACUCUGACCCAGCGACGCCGCGUGCGGGAUGAAGGCCUUCGGGUUGUAAACCGCUUUCAGCAGGGAAGAAGCGAAAGUGACGGUACCUGCAGAAGAAGCACCGGCUAACUAUGUGCCAGCAGCCGCGGUAAUACAUAGGGUGCAAGCGUUGUCCGGAAUUAUUGGGCGUAAAGAGCUCGUAGGUGGUUCGUCACGUCGGAUGUGAAAAUCUGGGGCUUAACCCCAGACCUGCAUUCGAUACGGGCGAGCUUGAGUAUGGUAGGGGAGUCUGGAAUUCCUGGUGUAGCGGUGGAAUGCGCAGAUAUCAGGAGGAACACCAAUGGCGAAGGCAGGACUCUGGGCCAUUACUGACACUGAGGAGCGAAAGCGUGGGGAGCGAACAGGAUUAGAUACCCUGGUAGUCCACGCCGUAAACGGUGGGCACUAGUUGUGGGGACCUUCCACGGUCUCUGCGACGCGNGCUACGCAUUAAGUCGCCCCGCCGUCGGGAGGUACGAGUCGCGAGAAGUUAAAACUAACAAAUAGUAAGUUAGACGGCGUGAGACGUGCCGACGGACGACCGACCGACGGGAGGUUAGG